GAGAAGAAACACCAAACCUGUCCCCUCUAAACUUGUGUCUGUGACUUUCUCUUGUCCUGGCCAUGAGCACUUUGUUGACAAGUUUCUUUUUCUCUGAGCUGACUUAUACAGCCUUUUUGAAACUCCCAAAAAAUAAAUUCCACCCAAACGAGGAAGUAAACCAAGGAAACAGAAGACAGAUGAUUGAGAAUAUAGCUGAUCUGACAAGGUGAAACAAAGGGAAUUUCCCAGAAAAUGUUGAAAUAAUGGUUCUACCUGGAAACCUGUCUUCCUAGGAUACAGCUUUAUUUUCUAUGUUUCUACAUCAUUGAAGAUUGAGGCCAUUCACUGCAGAGUCUCAACAUCUCUACAAAAAUCACCCUAUAAAUCAAAUCACCUAGGAAUAGGGAUCACUUAGAAAACUAAAAUGUGGACAGAAUAUGAAUGUAAGAAUUAUAGUUUUCAGAAUAGGGUAAAUAAA